rnacentral:rRNA from 1 species
UACGUAGGGUGCGAGCGUUAAUCGGAAUUACUGGGCGUAAAGCGUGCGCAGGCGGUUUUGUAAGACAGAUGUGAAAUCCCCGGGCUCAACCUGGGAACUGCGUUUGUGACUGCAAGACUUGAGUGUGGCAGAGGGGGGUGGAAUUCCACGUGUAGCAGUGAAAUGCGUAGAGAUGUGGAGGAACACCGAUGGCGAAGGCAGCCCCCUGGGUCAACACUGACGCUCAUGCACGAAAGCGUGGGUAGCAAACAGGAUUAGAAACCCGUGUAGU